rnacentral:lncRNA from 1 species
AUAACUCAACCUCCACUUACUCAAGCAAUAUGUUAAUUCAAACAUAUAAUAAAUAAACAACAUUUAUUAUAUUAACUAUAUAUUAUUAUCAAACGAAUUUCACCAUGUCACCAAUGGGAAUGUAUAAGGAUCAUUCGCUCGAGGACGUAGAAAUGAUAGCUGCCACCACGCCCAUGACUAAGUGUAUUAGCCACCUUAUGUGUACCAAAAUUUGAGAUUUAUCGGGCAUUAUAAUGCCCCCAAUUAACCUCAGGAUAAAUGCUUAGGCGUAUU